rnacentral:rRNA from 1 species
GAAUUAUUGGGCGUAAAGAGCUCGUAGGCGGUUUGUCNCGUCUGCCGUGAAAGUCCGGGGCUCAACUCCGGAUCUNCGGUGGGUACGGGCAGACUAGAGUGAUGUAGGGGAGACUGGAAUUCCUGGUGUANCGGUGAAAUGCGCAGAUAUCAGGAGGAACACCGAUGGCGAAGGCAGGUCUCUGGGCAUUAACUGACGCUGAGGAGCGAAAGCAUGGGGAGCGAACAGGAUUAGAUACCCUGGUAGUCCAUGCCGUAAACGUUGGGCACUAGGUGUGGGGGACAUUCCACGUUUUCCGCGCCGUAGCUAACGCAUUAAGUGCCCCGCCUGGGGAGUACGNCCGCAAGGCUAAAACUCAAAGGAAUUGACGGGGGCCCGCACAAGCGGCGGAGCAUGCGGAUUAAUUCGAUGCAACGCGAAGAACCUUACCAAGGCUUGACAUGAACCGGAAAGAUCUGGAAACAGGUCCCCCACUUGUGGUCGGUUUACAGGUGGUGCAUGGUUGUCGUCAGCUCGUGUCGUGAGAUGUUGGGUUAAGUCCCGCAACGAGCGCAACCCUCGUUCUAUGUUGCCAGCACGUGAUGGUGGGGACUCAUAGGAGACUNCCGGGGUCAACUCGGAGGAAGGUGGGGGCGACGUCAAAUCAUCAUGCCCCUUAUGUCUUGGGCUUCACGCAUNCUACAAUGGCCGGUACAAAGGGUUGCGAUACUGUGAGGUGGAGCUAAUCCCNCNAAGCCGGUCUCAGUUCGGAUUGGGGUCUGCAACUCGACCCCAUGAAGUCGGAGUCGCUAGUAAUCGCAGAUCAGCAACGC